GACGAACGCUGGCGGCGUGCUUAACACAUGCAAGUCGGGCGGUAAGGCCCUUUCGGGGGUACGACGAGCGGCGAACGGGUGAGUAACACGUGGGUGACCUGCCCUCAGCUCUGGGAUAAGCCUGGGAAACCGGGUCUAAUACCGGAUAUGACUCCAUGACGCAUGUUGUGGGGUGGAAAGCCUUGUGCGGCUGAGGAUGGGCCCGCGGCCUAUCAGCUUGUUGGUGGGGUGAUGGCCUACCAAGGCGACGACGGGUAGCCGCCUGAGAGGGCGACCGGCCACACUGGGACUGAGACACGGCCCAGACUCCUACGGGAGGCAGCAGUGGGGAAUCUUGCGCAAUGGGCAAAGCCUGACGCAGCGACGCCGCGUGAGGGAUGACGGCCUG
rnacentral:rRNA from 1 species